AUGGUCCAUUUUAACACACAUUUUCUUCUUAAUUUUAUUUUUCUGACUUAAAAUUAUUUUUAGCUUUUGAUUUUUGGGAUGAAGGUUGACCAAUCUCCCAUGGUCAACCUGACCUUUUCUUGGAAUUUUAUUUCCCAUUUUCAAUUUAAUUUGGAUUUAUUUUUAUUUUUCUGACUUAAAAUUAUUUUUAGCUUUUGAUUUUUGGGAUGAAGGUUGACCAAUCUCCCAUGGUCAACCUGACCUUUU
rnacentral:lncRNA from 1 species